rnacentral:rRNA from 1 species
GAGUUUGAUCCUGGUUCAGGACGAACGCUGGCGGCGUGCCUAACACAUGCAAGUCGAACGGAGAUAUGCGAACGAGGCCUUCGGGCGGAGAUUGCAUAUUUUAGUGGCGGACGGGCGAGUAACGCGUGAGCAACCUGCCCUUCAGAGGGGGAUAACGGCUGGAAACGGCCGCUAAUACCGCAUGACAUAUACACAAGGCAUCUUGGGUAUAUCAAAGGAGGAAUCCGCUGAAGGAUGGGCUCGCGUCCGAUUAGCUGGUUGGUGAGGUAACGGCUCACCAAGGCGACGAUCGGUAGCCGAACUGAGAGGUUGAUCGGCCGCAUUGGGACUGAGACACGGCCCAGACUCCUACGGGAGGCAGCAGUGGGGGAUAUUGCACAAUGGAGGAAACUCUGAUGCAGCGACGCCGCGUGGGGGAAGAAGGUCUUCGGAUUGUAAACCUCAGUAGUCAGGGAAGAAGCAAGUGACGGUACCUGAAGAGUAAGCUCCGGCUAACUACGUGCCAGCAGCCGCGGUAAUACGUAGGGAGCGAGCGUUGUCCGGAAUUACUGGGUGUAAA